AACGAACGCUGGCGGCAGGCCUAACACAUGCAAGUCGAACGGCAGCGAGAGAGAAGCUUGCUUCUCUUGUCGGCGAGUGGCGAACGGGUGAGUAAUACAUCGGAACGUACCCUGUAGUGGGGGAUAACUACUCGAAAGAGUAGCUAAUACCGCAUACAACCUGAGGGUAAAAGUGGGGGACCGCAAGGCCUCACGCUAUAGGAGCGGCCGAUGGAAGAUUAGCUAGUUGGUAGGGUAAAGGCCUACCAAGGCGACGAUCUUUAGCGGGUCUGAGAGGACGAUCCGCCACACUGGGACUGAGACACGGCCCAGACUCCUACGGGAGGCAGCAGUGGGGAAUUUUGGACAAUGGGCGAAAGCCUGAUCCAGCAAUGCCGCGUGAGUGAAGAAGGCCUUCGGGUUGUAAAGCUCUUUUGUUUGGGAAGAAAUCCUAACGGAUAAUACCUGUUGGGGAUGACGGUACCAAAAGAAUAAGCACCGGCUAACUACGUGCCAGCCGCCGCAGUAAUAC
rnacentral:rRNA from 1 species